CGUCACCAGGCAGGGCCCGGGUAGCCCGUGGUAACCAGGAGUCUGCGGAAGUGGAGACCGGUGGGCAGGCGGCUAAGACAGGGGACUGAAAGUUGUGGAACCACAAUUUGUGACACCAGGUGUUUUUUUGGUAAGCAGCCAUUUAUGAUUCCGGAAGAUUAAGGCAGAUAGGAAGCCCCUUCUGAGAUUGUAACAAAGCUCUCGAACAACAACCGACACCAUGGACAUAAAGCUGGACCCUUCCCGGGAUGACCUGCCUCUCAUGGCCAACACCAGCCACAUACUUGUGAAGCACUAUGUACUGGAUUUAGAUGUGGAUUUCGAAAGUCAAAUCAUUGAGGGCACCAUAGUGCUUUUCUUUGAGUCUGGGGACAGAUUCGAGAAACAGAGUGGUUCCACCAAGGACACCUGCCGAUCAGAGUCAAACGAAGCCUGCAGUUUUAGGAUGCCUGCACCCUGCCAUAGUCCUGUGACAGAUACAAGGACCUUCUCAUCUAAAACAGGAUAUAAUGAUUUUGCAAUCUGUGGUAAAGGUGAAAAAGAUACUUCUGGUAAAGAUGGUAACCAUGACAACCAGGAACAGGCUUCUGGGAUUUCUAGCUCAAAGUACCGCUGUGACACAGGGAAUCAUGGGAGUGAGGAUUUUUUGCUAGUGUUGGACUGCUGUGAUUUAUCCGUGUUGAAGGUAGAGGAGGUGGAUGUUGCUGCUGUGCCAGGUAUUGACAAAUUUACAAGGUCUCCCAAGCUCACAGUUGUUUCCGAGGAGCUCAGGAAUCAGAUUGUACAUGAACUUGUCACUCUGCCUGCAGGGCGUUGGCGGGAGCAGUUAGACUAUUAUGCUGGCUGCAGCCAGGCUCCUGGCUGUGGGGAGCUCCUGUUUGACACUGACACUUGGAGCUUACAGAUCAGGAAGACAGGGGCUCAGACAGCUACUGACUUUCCUCAUGCCAUAAGGAUAUGGUACAGCACCAAACCCCAGGGGCGAUCCGUUACAUGGACCUCAGACCAGAGCGGCAGGCCAUGUGUUUAUACUAUGGGAUCUCCCAUAAACAACAGGGCCCUUUUUCCAUGCCAGGAGCCACCCGUUGCCAUGUCAACAUGGCAGGCUACAGUUCGAACAGCUGCAUCUUUUGUUGUUUUAAUGAGUGGGGAAAAUGCUGCCAAGCCAACACAGCUUCGGGAAGGAAUUACAAUUCCUGUUUUAUAUUUUUGUUCAGUUUCAAAACAUAUUUGUAGGUGCGCAAGCUGGCAUUACUAUGUAACCAUGCCGAUGCCAGCCUCCACCUUCACGAUUGCAGUGGGCUCCUGGACAGAAAUGAAGCCAGAGCCCUGCUUGUUCAAGGAUCUGGCAGCAGAGAGAGCCCUCUCACCUUCCGAGGCUGACUUCAGGUAUGUUGGCAUUUGUGGUCACACGGAAUACCCCUGCCGCUUCCAGAAUCCUUCUGCUACCACCCAGGAAAUUAUUCCUCAUCGGGUCUUUGCCCCAGUGUGCCUCCAGGGUGCUUGUCAAGAGACCCUUCUGCAGCUGGUCCCCCCGUGCCUCUCAGCAGCACACUCCAUCCUGGGAACACACCCAUUCGCCAGGCUGGACAUCCUCAUCGUUCCUGCCAACUUCCCGAGUCUGGGGAUGGCCAGCCCACACAUCAUCUUCCUCUCUCAGAGCGUCUUGACAGGAGCGAGCCAUCUCUGUGGGACCCGGCUCUGCCAUGAAAUCGCUCACGCCUGGUUUGGCCUAGCCAUCGGGGCCCGGGACUGGACGGAGGAGUGGCUGAGUGAAGGGUUUGCCACUCACUUGGAAGACGUGUUCUGGGCUGAAGCGCAGCAGCUGGCCCCCCACGAGGCCCAGGAGCAGCAGGAGCUGAAGGCUUGUCUGCGCUGGUGUCGCCUCCAGGACGAGGUGCGGAACUCCCCGGAGGAGAUGCAGGUGUUGAGACCCAAUAAAGAGAAAACUGGCCAUGUGAGUGACUCAGGAUCAUCUGUCAUCAAACAUGGGCUCAAUCCCGAGAAGGUCUUCAUGCAGGUUCAUUAUUUAAAGGGCUAUUUCCUGCUCCGGUUCCUUGCCCAAAGACUUGGAGAUGAUACCUAUUUUGCAUUUUUAAGAAAAUUUGUGUACACAUUUCAUGGGCAGUUGAUUCUUUCCCAGGAUUUCCUUCAAAUGCUGUUGGAGAAUAUCCCAGAAGAAAAAAGGCUCAAGUUGUCUGUGGAAAACAUCUUCCGAGACUGGCUUGAGAGUUCUGGAAUACCACAGCCGCUGCAGAGGGAGCGCCAGGCCGGGGCUGAGUGCGGGCUCGCGCGGCAAGUGAGCGCCGAGGUCGAGAAAUGGAUUCGAGUGAACCGGAGACCCCGAAAACGGAAACGAAGGGAGGCUGAAGAAGUGUUUGAAAAGCUCCUUCCAGACCAGCUUGUCUUGCUUCUGGAGCAUCUCUUGGAGCAGAAGACUCUGAACCCCCGAACUCUGCAAAGCCUCGAGAGGACAUACCACCUCCCCCAACAGGAUGCAGAGGUUCGCCAUCGAUGGUGUGAACUCAUUGUUAAGCACAAAUACACAAAAGCCUACAAAGACGUGGAGAGAUUCCUCCAGGAGGAUCAGGCCAUGGGUGUGUACCUGUACGGGGAGCUGAUGCUGAGCGAAGACUCCAGGCAGCAGCAGGUCGCCCACCGGUGCUUUGAGCUGACCAAGGAGCAGAUGGAGAGAUCCUCAGCCGAGGUGGUGGCCGAGAUGUUAUUCUGAAGAGUUCGGAGAACAGACGCAUCUUGUAGCUCUUCUCCGGAAACAGAAGAAGCAACAGCCGUGGAAGACGCUCGGCGGCCCGCUCCUUACGCCCAGCCGACGACCUCUCUGCCGAGGUGCAGAGCUUAGCUGAUUGGUGAACAGUGACUGGUUUCCGCUUUGUUCACAGUGGCUAAGUUCUGCACCUGAAGAGAAGCCCCCGCAGGACGGCACCGAGCUCCCAGCUGAGGCACUGCUUCCGGGCUGUCGAUUGGACCCGCCCUCCGGUGCCUACUGAGCUGAUAUCAGUUCUCAUUUUACACACUGGCUCAGUUCAGCAGGAACAGGAGUCGAGCCCUCGAGCAAAAAGCCUUCCUGUUUGCAAGUGCCCAGAGGCUCCGGAGCUGGGACUGCGCCCACGGAAGGUCACAGCGAGAUUCUUAUGCAUCUACGCCUAGCCCUGGACAUCGCAGGAAGGGUAACGGGGCUGCUAAAGCCAGCAGCCAGCAGCAUCCACGCCUUGGUGCUUCUCUUUCCCGAGGCUGCUCUCCCUGGAGCUCAUGGACCGCGUGGUGCCUUUGUCCCCUGCCCUGAACUUGCCACCUCGAGAUAUUCAGUCUGCAUUGGAUCUCUUCUGUGAGGCGAAGGUGCUUCUUUCACACAAAUGAUGAAAGCUGCCUGAGAUGCAUUGGAAAAGCUGCUGAACAUUUUGCAUUGAUCCCCUCAGCAUAUGGCUGCACUGGAGAUUUCUAGAAUUCCAGGAAGUCAGCUUCUGUAUCCUGGGACCAGUGGAAUUCUUCUCUAGAUCAUUUCAGAAAGAUUCUGCAGGAUUAUUUUGAUUGUUGGGUGUGUUGUUCAAAUUUGUCCAAACGUUAAUACCCUUGGUAAAAAGGCAGGGUAAGAAUCCAAGACGUAUUCAUAAUAAAACAGUGGAUUACUAUUUUUGCA